AUUUACGGUACGAGCCCUACUUGCUAUCUUUCGCCUUAGUAGUAAAAUAAUCAUUUUGUUCCCUAGCUGAAGCUCAACUGCGAUGAACCAUUCAACAAUGGCGAUUCAGAUCGAGAAAUUCCUCAUCUUUCUAGUGAUAUCUGUGUUCUUCGUCUCGUCGUCGACGCUUGCGAACUCCGACGUUCCGUUCAUCGUCGCUCACAAGAAGGCCACUCUCACAAGGCUCAAGGCCGGUGUCGAACAGGUCUCCGUCUCCAUCGACAUCUACAACCAAGGAUCUGCAACUGCGUAUGAUGUUAGUCUCACUGACAAUAGCUGGUCUGAAGAUAUCUUUGAUAUAGUCACUGGUAACACUUCAAUGUCAUGGGAAAGGCUUGACGCUGAUUCUCUUCUAUCACACUCUUUUGUACUGGAGGCCAAAGUAAAAGAGGUGUUUUAUGGUGCACCAGCAGUUAUCACAUUCCGUGUCCCUACAAAAGCUGCUCUACAGGAGGCAUACUCGACUCCGAUUCUACCUUUAGAUAUCCUUGCAGAUAGGCCUCCGGAGAAGAAGUUUGACUGGGUAAGUCUUUCACAAGUAAUAAUGUAAAUCAAUUUCAUGCAGGACUUGUUAGCCACUGCUGUUCACUAAGAAGCUUUCUUGUGUUUUUUCAUGGAAUCACUUUGGUGGCCUCCAAAAUUUAUCAGGCUAAGAGGUUGUUGGCCAAGUACGGGUCGUUGAUUUCUGUGAUCUCCAUUGUGGUUUUGUUUGUGUAUUUGGUUGCAACCCCAUCAAAAUCUAGUGGGAGCAAAAAGAAGCGCUAAUCAUCAUAGAACGAAACAAAUGCAGCACCUUCCGAUAUCUGGUUUGCAACUGAAUUCCCUGAGGCAAUGGUUCUCUCAGUCCCCUCCCUGUGAUGCUAGUCAAAAUGAUCUUCUGCAUCUCCAUUCAAUUUGGGAAGUCUCAUAGUUGUUGUGAAUUUCUAAUUAGAUGUUGGUUAGAGAUGUAAUUUGGGCAGACUCGUUAGUCUGCCUGAUUCAUCUUUGAACAGGAGUUUUGUCUUAAUUGUUUUCCUUGUUUUGUGUAAUAGAAAUGAGGGCUUAUGGACUCGGGAAUUAUGGGAGUGGUAACUCUGGUGCAAGAUUAUAGGAGUGAUACUGGUUAACAAUGAAUAAGUUGGGUAUAGGAGUACUACCUUCAUGUU